AUUGAACGCUGGCGGCAUGCCUUACACAUGCAAGUCGAACGGCAGCACGGGAGCAAUCCUGGUGGCGAGUGGCGAACGGGUGAGUAAUAUAUCGGAACGUGCCCAGUCGUGGGGAUAACGUAGCGAAAGCUACGCUAAUACCGCAUACGAUCUAUGGAUGAAAGCGGGGGAUCGCAAGACCUCGCGCGAUUGGAGCGGCCGAUAUCAGAUUAGGUAGUUGGUGAGGUAAAGGCUCACCAAGCCGACGAUCUGUAGCUGGUCUGAGAGGACGACCAGCCACACUGGGACUGAGACACGGCCCAGACUCCUACGGGAGGCAGCAGUGGGGAAUUUUGGGACAAUGGGCGCAAGCCUGAUCCAGCAAUGCCGCGUGCAGGAUGAAGGCCUUCGGUUGUAACUGCUUUGUUACGGAACGAAACGGUGAGCUCUAAUACAGUUGUCUAAUGACGGUACCGUAAGAAUAAG
rnacentral:rRNA from 1 species